rnacentral:rRNA from 1 species
CCUACGGGAGGCAGCAGUAGGGAAUAUUGCUCAAUGGGGGAAACCCUGAAGCAGCAACGCCGCGUGGAGGAUGAAGGUUUUCGGAUUUGAAACUCCUUUUUGUAAAGAAGAUAGGGACGCUAUGUGACGAAUAGCCACAGGCUAACUCCAUGCCGGCAGCCGCGAUAAUACGGAGGGGGCAGGGGUGACUCGGAAGCACUGGGCGUAAAGGGUGCGUAGGCGGGAUAGCGAGUUAGAUGGUAAAAUCUAGGGCCUAACCCUAGAAGUGCAGUUGACACUGUUCUUCUAGAGUAUGGGAGAGGUAGGUGGAAUGCUUGGUGUAGCGGUGAAAUGCGUAGAGAUCACGCGGAAUACUGAUUGCGAAGGCGGCAUGCUAGAACCCAACUGACGCUGAUGCGCGAAAGCGUGGGGAGCGAACAGGAUUAGAUACCCGGGUAGUC